rnacentral:lncRNA from 1 species
CUUCUUCUUCUUUUCUUCUCCUUCUCCUUCUCCUUCUCCUUCUCCUCCUCCUCCUCCUUCUUCUUGUUUUUAUUCUCCUUCUUCUCUUCUUGCUUCUUCUCUUUCUUCUUCAAUUUAGCUUAUUUGUCAUAUAUAUGUUGUUGUUGUUGUUCUUCUGACUUUGUUAUUCCCAUUUUGCAGAUUGGAUGUACUACAUGCAUG